rfam:TPA: Bos taurus chromosome 23, whole genome shotgun sequence.
UCCCUGGUGGCUAAGACGGUAAAGCAUCUGCCUGUAGUGCGGGAGACCCGGGUUUGAUCCCUGGGUUGGGAA